UUUCAUAUAAAAGGAUCUAAAAGUUGGAUGCCUAGGAUAGAUGAAAAAUAAAGAGAGAAAAUUAUUUUCUCAAGACGAGCCUCCUCUCUCUUCUUCCUCUUCUUUUCUAUCUCUAGAGAGUCUAUGAGAUUUCAGAAGAAAUCAUUCCAACCAUUAAAGAGGAGUCUUCUACAAGGGAGCUAGCAUCUUGAUAAAGAUACCCACC
rnacentral:lncRNA from 1 species